AUACGCCCUACGGGGGAAAAAUUUAUUGCUAUUAGAUGAGCCUAUAUUAGAUUAGUUAGUUGGUGAGGUAAAGGCUUACCAAGACAAUGAUCUAUAGCUGAUCUGAGAGGAUGAUCAGCCACACUGGAACUGAGAUACGGUCCAGACUCCUACGGGAGGCAGCAGUGGGGAAUAUUGGACAAUGGGCGAAAGCCUGAUCCAGCCAUGCCGCAUGAGUGAAGAAGGCCUUCGGGUUGUAAAGCUCUUUUAGUGAGGAAGAUAAUGACGGUACUCACAGAAGAAGUCCUGGCUAACUCCGUGCCAGCAGCCGCGGUAAUACGGAGAGGGCUAGCGUUAUUCGGAAUCAUUGGGCGUAAAGGGCGCGUAGGCGGGUUAGUAAGUUAAAAGUGAAAUCCCAAGGCUCAACCUUGGAACUGCUUUUAAAACUGCUAGUCUAGAGAUUGAAAGAGGAUAGAGGAAUUCCUAGUGUAGAGAUGAAAUUCGUAAAUAUUAGGAGGAACACCAGUGGCGAAGGCGUCUAUCUGGUUCAAAUCUGACGCUGAGGCGCGAAGGCGUGGGGAGCAAACAGGAUUAGAUACCCUGGUAGUCCACGCUGUAAACGAUGAAUGUUAAAUAUGGGAAGUUCACUUUCUGUAUUAUAGCUAACGCGUUAAACAUUCCGCCUGGGGACUACNGUCGCAAGAUUAAAACUCA
rnacentral:rRNA from 1 species